rnacentral:rRNA from 1 species
AGACCCGAAACCCGGUGAUCUAGCCAUGGGCAGGUUGAAGGUUGGGUAACACUAACUGGAGGACCGAACCGACUAAUGUUGAAAAAUUAGCGGAUGACCUGUGGCUGGGGGUGAAAGGCCAAUCAAACCGGGAGAUAGCUGGUUCUCCCCGAAAGCUAUUUAGGUAGCGCCUCGUGAAUUCAUCUCCGGGGGUAGAGCACUGUUUCGGCUAGGGGGCCAUCCCGGCUUACCAACCCGAUGCAAACUGCGAAUACCGGAGAAUGUUAUCACGGGAGACACACGGCGGGUGCUAACGUCCGUCGUGAAGAGGGAAACAACCCAGACCGCCAGCUAAGGUCCCAAAGUCAUGGUUAAGUGGGAAACGAUGUGGGAAGGCCCAGACAGCCAGGAUGUUGGCUUAGAAGCAGCCAUCAUUUAAAGAAAGCGUAAUAGCUCACUGGUCGAGUCGGCCUGCGCGGAAGAUGUAACGGGGCUAAACCAUGCACCGAAGCUGCGGCAGCGACACUAUGUGUUGUUGGGUAGGGGAGCGUUCUGUAAGCCUGCGAAGGUGGCCUGUGAGGGUUGCUGGAGGUAUCAGAAGUGCGAAUGCUGACAUAAGUAACGAUAAAGCGGGUGAAAAGCCCGCUCGCCGGAAGACCAAGGGUUCCUGUCCAACGUUAAUCGGGGCAGGGUGAGUCGACCCCUAAGGCGAGGCCGAAAGGCGUAGUCGAUGGGAAACGGGUUAAUAUUCCCGUACUUGGUGUUACUGCGAAGGGGGGACGGAGAAGGCUAUGUUGGCCGGGCGACGGUUGUCCCGGUUUAAGCGUGUAGGUGUGUGUUCCAGGUAAAUCCGGUUCACUUUAACACUGAGGCGUGAUGACGAGGCACUACGGUGCUGAAGCAACAAAUGCCCUGCUUCCAGGAAAAGCCUCUAAGCAUCAGGUAACACGAAAUCGUACCCCAAACCGACACAGGUGGUCAGGUAGAGAAUACCAAGGCGCUUGAGAGAACUCGGGUGAAGGAACUAGGCAAAAUGGUGCCGUAACUUCGGGAGAAGGCACGCUGACAUGUAGGUGAAGUGAUUUACUCACGGAGCUGAAGUCAGUCGAAGAUACCAGCUGGCUGCAACUGUUUAUUAAAAACACAGCACUGUGCAAACACGAAAGUGGACGUAUACGGUGUGACGCCUGCCCGGUGCCGGAAGGUUAAUUGAUGGGGUCAGCGCAAGCGAAGCUCCUGAUCGAAGCCCCGGUAAACGGCGGCCGUAACUAUAACGGUCCUAAGGUAGCGAAAUUCCUUGUCGGGUAAGUUCCGACCUGCACGAAUGGCGUAAUGAUGGCCAGGCUGUCUCCACCCGAGACUCAGUGAAAUUGAACUCGCUGUGAAGAUGCAGUGUACCCGCGGCAAGACGGAAAGACCCCGUGAACCUUUACUAUAGCUUGACACUGAACAUUGAGCCUUGAUGUGUAG